GCCCUUAGAGUUUGAUCCUGGCUCAGGAUGAACGCUAGCUACAGGCUUAACACAUGCAAGUCGAGGGGCAUCAGUUUGGUUUGCUUGCAAACCAAAGCUGGCGACCGGCGCACGGGUGAGUAACACGUAUCCAACCUGCCUCAUACUCGGGGAUAGCCUUUCGAAAGAAAGAUUAAUAUCCGAUAGCAUAUAUUUCCCGCAUGGGUUUUAUAUUAAAGAAAUUCGGUAUGAGAUGGGGAUGCGUUCCAUUAGUUUGUUGGGGGGGUAACGGCCCACCAAGACUACGAUGGAUAGGGGUUCUGAGAGGAAGGUCCCCCACAUUGGAACUGAGACACGGUCCAAACUCCUACGGGAGGCAGCAGUGAGGAAUAUUGGUCAAUGGACGCGAGUCUGAACCAGCCAAGUAGCGUGAAGGAUGACUGCCCUAUGGGUUGUAAACUUCUUUUAUAUGGGAAUAAAGUUGUCCACGUGUGGAUUUUUGUAUGUACCAUAUGAAUAAGGAUCGGCUAACUCCGUGCCAGCAGCCGCGGUAAUACGGAGGAUCCGAGCGUUAUCCGGAUUUAUUGGGUUUAAAGGGAGCGUAGGCGGAUUGUUAAGUCAGUUGUGAAAGUUUGCGGCUCAACCGUAAAAUUGCAGUUGAUACUGGCAGUCUUGAGUGCAGUAGAGGUGGGCGGAAUUCGUGGUGUAGCGGUGAAAUGCUUAGAUAUCACGAAGAACUCCGAUUGCGAAGGCAGCUCACUGGAGUGUAACUGACGCUGAUGCUCGAAAGUGUGGGUAUCAAACAGGAUUAGAUACCCUGGUAGUCCACACAGUAAACGAUGAAUACUCGCUGUUUGCGAUAUACAGUAAGCGGCC
rnacentral:rRNA from 1 species